ACGCUCGACACCUACGGGAGGCAGCAGUGGGGAAUAUUGCACAAGUGGGGGAAACCCUGAUGCAGCGACGCCGCGUGAGUGAAGAAGUAUUUCGGUAUAGUAAAGCUCUAUCAGCAGGGAAGAAAAUGACGGUACCUGAGUAAGAACGCCCCGGCUAACUACGUGCCACAGCCGCGGUAAUCUGAGCGGGCUGGCAAGGC
rnacentral:rRNA from 1 species